UUUUAACACAUGGGCCUUUGCAGGAU
rnacentral:piRNA from 2 species